rnacentral:rRNA from 1 species
AUUGAACGCUGGCGGCAGGCCUAACACAUGCAAGUCGAACGAGUGGCGGACGGGUGAGUAAUGCCUGGGAAACUGCCUGAUGGAGGGGGAUAACUACUGGAAACUGUAGCUAAUACCGCGUACCAUCAGAUGAGCCCAAGUGGGAUUAGCUAGUUGGUGGGGUAACGGCUCACCAAGACGACGAUCGCUAGCUGGUCUGAGAGGAUGACCAGCCACACUGGAACUGAGACACGGUCCAGACGCCUACGGGAGGCAGCAGUGGGGAAUAUUGCACAAUGGGCGCAAGCCUGAUGCAGCCAUGCCGCGUGAAUGAAGAAGGCCGUCGGGUUGUAAAGUACUGUCAGCGGGGAGGCGUUACCCGCAGAAGAAGCACCGGCUAACUCCGUGCCAGCAGCCGCGGUAAUAC